rnacentral:rRNA from 1 species
UACGGAGGGAGCUAGCGUUGUUCGGAAUUACUGGGCGUAAAGCGCACGUAGGCGGUUUGUUAAGUCAGGGGUGAAAUCCCGGAGCUCAACUCCGGAACUGCCUUUGAUACUGGCAAGCUAGAGUCCGGAAGAGGUAAGUGGAACUCCUAGUGUAGAGGUGGAAUUCGUAGAUAUUAGGAAGAACACCAGUGGCGAAGGCGGCUUACUGGUCCGGAACUGACGCUGAGGUGCGAAAGCGUGGGGAGCAAACAGG